UGUAAGCGUAUACCAAAGUUGUUGCAGUUAAAACGCUCGUAGUCGGAAUUUGGCAGUUACGGAUGUGUGCACGUCGUGUGCGCACUUCGCGGGGAUUGCUUUUGUGGUCUUGCGUAGGAUGAGGCACUUUUAUUAGUGAACGUCCUCACGCAACCACUUUUUACUGUGAGAAAAUCAGAGUGCUCAAAGCAGGCAUUUGCCGUGAAUGUAUUAGCAUGGAAUAAUAGAAUAGGACUUGGUUCUAUUUUGUUGGUUUGUUGGGACUGAGUAAUGAUUAAGAGGGACAGUUGGGGGCAUUUGUAUUUCGGUGCUAGAGGUGAAAUUCUUAGAUUACCGAAAGACAAACUGCUGCGAAAGCGUCUGCCAAGGAUGUUUUCAUUGA
rnacentral:rRNA from 1 species